CUCUAGGGGUAGGGUCCCUAUCUGUCAAUCUUGUUCCACCUUUGUCUGACUUUGCCUUUUUCCAUUUUGGCGCCCCUAGCAGGAAUGAGGGAGGGGCACGGGUAUCACUAUCUGUUUUUUUCAGUCUACCUGUGAUUGAAUCUGCCAACAAUUGUUUCAUCUCUAUUUCCAUCUCUGCCUCUUUGUUUUGAUUUAUCUGUGUCUGUCGUUUUGUGUGCCUGCAAGUGCGUGGGUGGGGAUGGAGUUGUCGCACCAAGGUUCUGACCCUUCUGCCACCUGUCUUUCCAAACCCACAGAGCCAUCCACCGCGCAGAUCCGCGCCCGGGUACCCAGCAGGAGCAGCUCCAAACCUGCGGCGAAAGCCUGGAGAGGGUGUCCGAGCGAGAGGCGCGCCCCUCGCGUUCCCACCCUCUGCGGGGGCGGCCCUGGGCGCGUGGAGCCGGGUGCGGGGACGCUGCAGGCCCUCAGGUCCCGGGUCCCCGCCUUCCCCGCUGCUUGCGGGUGGGCCCCUAGGCGCGGCUCCUCCUCCUGCGCCCCGCCUCCCCGAGCUCUCCCCUGCGCCCCCGCCGCCGCCCCCGAGGCACACCGAGCAGCCUGGCAGCCGCACCACCAAACUUUCCCGGGAGCCAGCGCCGAGAAAGAGAAAAGGGGGAGAGAGAACAGAAGUCUUGCUCUAUUGCCCAGGCUGGAAUGCAAUCUAAAAGUAGGUAUUAAAAACCUCUUUUAUGCCGAUAAUUGUGCUUAA
rnacentral:lncRNA from 13 species